rnacentral:siRNA from 1 species
GACUCUAUGGUGGAACAUGACUA